GUGGGGAAUAUUGGACAAUGGGCGAAAGCCUGAUCCAGCCAUGCCGCGUGUGUGAAGAAGGUCUUCGGAUUGUAAAGCACUUUAAGUUGGGAGGAAGGGCAGUAAGUUAAUACCUUGCUGUUUUGACGUUACCGACAGAAUAAGCACCGGCUAACUUCGUACCAGCAGCCGCGGUAAUACGAAGGGUGCAAGCGUUAAUCGGAAUUACUGGGCGUAAAGCGCGCGCAGGUGGUGUUGUAAGUUGGAGGUGAAAUCCCCGGGCUCAACCUGGGAACUGCCUCCAAAACUGCAUGACUAGAGGACGGUAGAGGGUAGUGGAAUUUCCUGUGUGGCGGUGAAAUGCGUAGAUAUAGGAAGGAACACCAGUGGCGAAGGCGACGACCUGGACUGAUACUGACACUGAGGUGCGAAAUCGUGCGGAGCAAACAGGAUUAGAAACCCGAGUAGUCC
rnacentral:rRNA from 1 species